UCCUCGCGUUAGCCCAGGCCGAGCUAUUCCCCCUCGCCGCCCCGUGGCAACUCAACCCCCCAAAUGGAUGCCGCUCAACUAUCUCAUCCAAUAGGACGCCGGCCACGACGUCACGAAGUUGCUGACGUCGCCAAGAAACGGCUGCCUCCGUUGCCGCCCUUCAGCGGCCACCUCGCUGCCGCUCCAAUGCCCACCAUGAGGCAUUGCGGAGGAAGGUGAGCAAGUAGCAGCACUUCGAGGAAGCCAUCAUCAACCUCGCCGCCGCGCUCCACGACCGCUAUGAAGGCGCCUCACCCGCCCUCCGCUAGUCGAUGGCUGUGGAAAGCUGGAAAUUUGCCUGUCCUAUCAAGAUGAGAAUCAACAACAUAAAGUUCUAGAAGGAUUCAAGGACAGGAAAGAUAUCUCCUUUUAUUAUCCAAUUGAUUGAAGAAGUUGGCUUCUCGCCGGCAUAUGAUUUCUUGUACUACAGGAAGAAAUACCCACGUGGCAGAGGCUAUUCUGACAUUGCUUCUGACCAUGAAAUAUGAUUUCUUGUACUACAGGAAGAAAUACCCGCGUGGCAGAGGCUAUUCUGACAUUUCUUCUGACCAUGAAAUAUGAUUUCUUAUACUACAUGACGAAAUACCCGCGUGGCAGAGGCUAUUCUGACAUUGCUUCUGACCAUGAAAUAUUUUGUGUUCA